GACCACUGGUGGCCACCCCGUGUACCACUUGCCCCUCACACCUGAGCUGGGGCAGUUCUCCACUGUGAACGGACAGCAGCCCAGAGAGAGGGGAAACGACUUGCCCACGGCCACAGGCCUGGUCAACAGUCUGACCCCCAGCCAGCCUCCCUUUGGUCCCUGGCUCUCUGGGGCAGGGGUGGGGCACUGUGCUUCCGGUGGGGCCCAGGGCCAGGGCAGCGGGCCAAUGCAAGUGGCCCUGCAGGCCCAUCUGCUGAGAGUGGCUUCCUGAGGCCGGGCUGGGAGAGGCUCGCCCCCAGCCACUGAAGGGAGCCCCAUAGGCCGCUCAGGAGCCCAAGAGGUGGCUGGGACAGACCCCGAGGCUGCCUGUGUCUGGGCCACUCCCAGGCUCAGGGACCUAUGCUCUGGGGUUCAGAAGGCCUGGGUUCCCGGCCACUCCCCUGCUCUGGGCUUCACCUCCCCCUCUGUGGCAGCCCCCUUAUGUGAACCACCAUUUUCUUUCUGCUCGCCUCAGAAAUAUACCGGAGGAUAUAUUUUCCAUUGAUUUUUAGAGAGUAGAAGAGAGGGAGGGAAGGGGAGAGAGAAACAUCCAUGUGAGACACUUUGAUUGGUUGCCUCCCACUCUCUCCUGAGCAGGGCCAGGGAUCAGGCCUGCAACCCAGGUACGUGCCCUUGACCGGGAAUCGACCCUCGACCUUUCGGUACACGGGCCAACACUCUGAGCACACCAGACAGGGCCUGACAGUUUCUUUUUCUCGUCAUCAAGGCCCUUCCCAGAGGCCUACAUCAAGUCCACCGCCCUCUGGCCUUUCCUGUCCCCUGUCCUCAGCGUCUGGGGACACAGACUGACCUUCUGCUGCCAGGCACUAGCCUCGGCCUGGAACCAGGAGAAGCUCAAGGCUGGCACCACCCACCUCCCCAGCCUCAAGGUCCAGAGAGGGGCCUGUCCGAAAAUUCAGCAUUCAGAGAAGCUAAGAAACUUGCCCGAGGUCACACAGGGAGUCAGCCAGGACCCAGAGGCCCCCCCAGCUGGUCCUUGACUGCUGAUCCUGGGGGCUGGGUUGGAGUGGGUUUGGGGAUCAGAGUGUCCAAGAAGGGCAAUGAGGAGUGGUCCGUUUUCCUACCCAGGAGCCUUUCCCUACCCUAUAACUCCCCAGAAGAUGGGAACUUGGGCUGGUCCGGAGCACCUGGCCCUCCUCUGGUCUCUGGCACCCCCCUGUGGCCUCCCAGGGCAUAAACCCUACCGUGGGCCCCGCCCCCAAAAGGAGGACCCAGAAUGCUACAGGUGAGAACCCGGAGGGCUCAACCACACAAUCCCAGCCCCCCUCCCAGAAGACACAGGCCAUUGAAAUUUAAAUCUUGGCAAUAAUAAUUAAUAAUAAUUAUAAUAGUAGUAAAUCCUGGCUCCCUUCCCCCACCUGGCUUGGGUAGGAGAGAGCCUGUAUGUCUUGGUUCCCCCAGGGACAGGUCUCGGAGGAGAUCAAAUGGGAGAGACCUGUGGGGAAGCCCCGGGCUGCUAGGGAUGCUGCUUCAGCUCCAAGGACGUCAGAGUGCCUCCUCCCUCAAGGCUCGCAACCGGACCCAGAAGACUCCAGAAGGUCUCCCCGCCUGAGGGAGGAGGCAAACCCGCCCAAAAGAUCUUUUUUAAUAGAAGAAUUUGUUAUCUAAAGCCGCUAAAAACCCCACCCUUCGAUCCCUCCUCUUGGACAGACCCACCGUCCUGUGGUUUCUGGUCCAGCCCAGCUGGAGACAGCUGGACAGAAGUCAGAAAUGCCACUGGAUAAGCCAACCCCGCCCUCUCCUGACCUCCAGCCCCGGUCAGACUUCUUGGCCUUUAAGUUCCAGGCCGGCGAAGGCCCUGCCCCGCCCAGGGCUUUGAGAGCCUGUGGUGGCCUGCUCUCCCCCCCUCCCCCCAGGCGUGCAUCUCCUAAACUCUAAGGACCCCCGGAGACUUGCCAUCAGGGAAGCAAUGGCCAGCGGCAGCUUGUCUCUUGCUAACUCCCUGAACCUGGCCCCAAGGCUCCCUUUUCGCUGGCUUCUCAGUGAGCCAAAGCAGCCCUGCUAGGCCUUCCUGUUGCUGCUUCUGUGCUAAGCCCUUGUUUCCCAGUCGCCGGCUUUAAUAAAAGUACACACACACACACACACACACACACACCCCAGAGCCUAUGGGGGGGCCGCCGGCUCAGCCCCACUGCAGGGUUUAGCUAAGGGUCCCCUCAUCCUCGGCCUCUCAAUUCAUUUUGUCCUUCCCAAGUCUCAGUGUGUCCAUCUGCCAAAUGGGUGUGACCAUUCCUGCCUCACACACCUGUCUCCCAGGUGGCUGUAACGAUACGAAUAAAAUGAAAGCAGAAA